GAAGCCCCAGUAAACGGCGGCCGUAACUAUAACGGUCCUAAGGUAGCGAAAUUCCUUGUCGGGUAAGUUCCGACCUGCACGAAUGGCAUAAUGAUGGCCAGGCUGUCUCCACCCGAGACUCAGUGAAAUUGAAAUCGCCGUGAAGAUGCGGUGUACCCGCGGCUAGACGGAAAGACCCCGUGAACCUUUACUAUAGCUUGACACUGAACCUUGAAUUUUAAUGUGUAGGAUAGGUGGGAGACUUUGAAGUAGCAACGCCAGUUGUUAUGGAGUCAACCUUGAAAUACCACCCUUUAACGUUUGAUGUUCUAACGAAGCACCCGAAACGGGUGUUCGGACAGUGUCUGGUGGGUAGUUUGACUGGGGCGGUCUCCUCCCAAAGAGUAACGGAGGAGUACGAAGGUUUGCUAAUCACGGUCGGACAUCGUGAGGUUAGUACAAUGGUAUAAGCAAGCUUGACUGCGAGACGGACAUGUCGAGCAGGUACGAAAGUAGGUCAUAGUGAUCCGGUGGUUCUGAAUGGAAGGGCCAUCGCUCAACGGAUAAAAGGUACUCCGGGGAUAACAGGCUGAUACCGCCCAAGAGUUCAUAUCGACGGCGGUGUUUGGCACCUCGAUGUCGGCUCAUCACAUCCUGGGGCUGAAGUAGGUCCCAAGGGUAUGGCUGUUCGCCAUUUAAAGUGGUACGCGAGCUGGGUUUAGAACGUCGUGAGACAGUUCGGUCCCUAUCUGCCGUGGGCGUUGGAGAAUUGA
rnacentral:rRNA from 1 species